CGAUAGUUUUCAUUCCCGAUGAAGCGGUGAUUACGAAGGCAGUGCACGCCGGCGCGUCAUAUCGUCGCACGUCAACCAAGAGAGUCGUGUGUACCCAACGAAUUAAAUAUUCCAAAGAGGAUGUCUAGCUCGGAGUUGCAGGCUGGACGGUGGCGGCUAUAAACGCUCUUCGUGUAGUAGUAGGCAUAAUACGGAGACUGAAAGCUCUAAAAGUCAUAAAACCGGGACUUGUCCGCGCGGCGACCAACGUAUGGCCCAUAAUUAUACGAUAGAGGAAGAAUCGGAAACUUGCCCCCGUCAUCCCUCCGGACAUCUGACCGGUUAUCCGUCCGCCGGUGCAGGUCCUAGGCAUCAUUGGCCCAGCCGUAUUGUACAAUUCGACCGUCAUCCUGAUUGCUACAAUUACUAGCCUCGCUGCAGCUUGUUACGACGCGUGAGGAGGAUCACCCUCGACGGGAGUGCCUCGAAACUCUCGACUAUCAAGCGGGGGUCUCUCUGCUCUCCACGUUUCCUGUUACUCAAGGACAUCGAAAAUAGAAUAUUUCUACGCGAAAAGAAAAAUUCAAGCAUAGUUUCCAGGACUUUUGAAGGACAGGCAAAAUUCAACAUUUCCAGGGCCACUGGGCACCGUGAGAUUCCAAAAGCACUGUCCUCUCUAGCCUGGACUGAAAAUUACCACACACCGGCCAGUCCUCGGCAACGUGACUGUGGUAUAUAGCAAUCCGAGGGGUCCGAAGUCGGCCGAGUCUAUAUGUAGAGGCUUUGGUCGGUCUUAUUUGCCCUGCAGUCCGUGUCCCAGGGGCGAAAACGUAUAGAGUUCUCGAUUACUGUUUGGGGCGAAGGCGAAAGAAAUUAACUACGACCCUCGUCCUACCAGGCGGCUCUUCAAAUCAGCGUGGGUACAACAACGCGCAACACGCUCGAUGCAAGUGGUACCCACCAGAAAGGUGGUUGAAUUUUCGUGGGUGUGGAAGCACGGCGAAGAGAUCAUUCGAGGUGCGGGUUCUCUUUCUGUAACAACUGAUCGUUCCUAUCUUCAGCGGCUCUUAUUGUCUCUCGGAGUAGCGCGAUCACGCUUUUACUGCCUCUUCGCUGUCUAACGCGCCCGGGAGACAACGUGCAGACCGCGGUGCGCGUAACGGAGGCCUAUUGUAGUUUACAACAAACAACGUGGAAUAGGAUCGUUUACCGGUAUAUCUCGAGGCCGGAACGAUUCACGCUCAGGGUUACCUGAGCCACCGAAAUACAAUAUUACACAAUUCGAGACCUGAUUGGACGUGCGUCUCCACGGAACCCGAAAUUUAGGCAUUGGAUUAUACCGUGAGGAUGGGCAGGACGACGGGAUGGCUCUACUCGCGCAUUAUCGUCUUAUACGUACACUGCAGAGGACAAGUCCCACCACACCGGGUUCCGGCGCCCAUAGCCCAUAAAUACGAGCAACCAGCCUCCGUGGUGUUCACGCACGUUGCUGAGAGGUAUGGGUGCUGUACAUGGUACAUCACAUCUACAAGGGUCUCCAUACAUCGCGCGUAACCAACACUCGACGAUGCAUCGUAUCGCUGGACGUGGAAGUAGAUUAUUUUUCUGCUCAACAGCGUACAAGCCGCGCGAGUGUGCGUACGUGCGGUUAUUUUUCGUCACUUCGAGUCUCCUUCGACUAUUUUCUCUUAUUAUUAUUUUUAAAUUGUUAUUCUUCCCAAUUCUUUACGCCCAACAUUAUGUUUCCACGAUGUGUGCGGCAUUUUUUUUUCUUCUUCCUUUACCUUUCAUCGUUAUUCCUCCUUGGCCCCCGACGAGCUUCCAUCGUUCCUGAGAGUAGAACCACUUCUAUGACCUUGAGGAACCUUGGCGCCGAGAUGAGGCCAAGGCCUACGUGACACAAGGAACCAAUAAACGGACCCCUUCCUCUUCGAUGCAACUGAGCUAACUCCACCGCUGGGAUAUAUCGCUUCGCAUUGCGGCAGGAGAUGAUUUUUAUUAAUUGUAAACGCCAUUUGCAACUCGCCAAGUUGCUCGCUUCAUCCGAUGCCGAGGAAAACUCUUCUUCUCAACUGCCGUGCUGGCUCGAGAGCUUCGGCGUGACUCGAAUGCAUCGAGCGACUUGGAUAACCCGCGGGCCGAGUCGCCGGGGGUCUAUUUUCAGUGUUAUAAAUAUACCGUAUGCGCUCAAGGGAUUUAUGGGUUUGGUAAACAAAUGGCGUUCGUUCCGCCUCCCGGCCUGACCAUUAGUAUGCUAAAAGGCUGAUACGGCCAAUAUUUGUACAGUCGCGGUGUCGUACGCGAGCGGAACAACGGAACCAUUUUACUCGCAUAUAACUCGGCUAGUGUUCCUCGAUGUGCUUGUCAUUCGAUAUACGCCUUUAAUCCGGCACACC